rnacentral:rRNA from 1 species
UACGUAGGGUGCAAGCGUUAAUCGGAAUUACUGGGCGUAAAGCGUGCGCAGGCGGCUUUGCAAGACAGAUGUGAAAUCCCCGGGCUUAACCUGGGAACUGCAUCUGUGACUGCAUCGCUGGAGUGCGGCAGAGGGGGAUGGAAUUCCGCGUGUAGCAGUGAAAUGCGUAGAUAUGCGGAGGAACACCGAUGGCGAAGGCAAUCCCCUGGGCCUGCACUGACGCUCAUGCACGAAAGCGUGGGGAGCAAACAGG